CGGCUAUACCUCAAUAUACAAGACAUGAUGAACAGAUGAUAUAGGUCCCCGAAAUAAAGUGGGGAUCACCAAGUUGGCUGAAAAGAGGAUGCGCCACUAGCUGCAACCAACACUGCCUGCUAUGGAACCACCUACAUCCAUUCAAAGAUGUAGCGCCCCCGGCAAAAGGGACGUUAGUGUCGUCGAAUAGCACAAGUAUGUAUAACUAAACACCAUCUCAAUAGAAAGAACUAUCAUACAAGAACAAAAGAAAUCAUAAACACCAUAUCAAUAGAAAGAACUAUCAUACAAGAACAAAGAAAUCAUAAAAAUUCAACAAAAGCUUCAAACAAUCACCACAUCAUCAAAUAAAAGGAAUCACACAACUUUCACGAAGUUUCUAUAGCUUUGGGUCGGGGCAUUUCAUAUUAUUGCAUCAUCAAUCAUAUUACCACCGCUUUCUUGAUCGGAGUCCGAUCACGGCCCGAUCGGCUAAAUUGCCUCAUUUGAGACAUAUACUUCAUUCAUUAUUUCAUUUUCACUUUUCGGAUUUAAUAUCAACACAAUACCAUCAUGUGUGUAGCAUAGCGUCCGAUCACGGCCUGAUCGGCUAAGCCGUCUUACCAAGACGUUACCCUUUUCCAUUAAUCAUCUUAUUUCAAUCUUUAUUUCGCAUAUAACAAUUCAUAGGCACUUAGGGCCACAAUUAUCACAUCAUAUUUGGCACUAUGCCACAUUUCAUAACUCACAUUCCACAUCACUUUCACUUUCAACAUCAAACUUGCAAAUUAAGAUAAUUGGCACAUAAAAGAGCAAUUCAAAUUGUAAGUGUGAGCACGUGAUUUUUGCCCUACAUGAAAUACUCCUAUAAAAUCAAAGAAAAUAGAGUUUUUCUUAAUUAUUUGCCAUUUUUAGGAAUUUUUGUAGAUUUUUAUUAAUUAUUUGCAUUUUUCCUGGACGUUUAAUUUUUAUUUUAAUCGUGAAAAAAAUAUCAAAAUAUCAUGCAUUGAAUUUUUUGUUUUUAUAUUUUUAGAAUUUACCAGUAAUUAUUUAUUUUAUAAAAUUAAAAAUCACAAAAAUUGCUUCAUUUUUACACUUUUUCCUUUUAUAGAUUUUUUUCUCUUUUGCUUUAGGAUUAAGUAGCUUUUAUAAUUUUUCUAAUUAGUUAAUUAGCUUAAUUUCACAUCUUUGGAUAAUCUAGGAUUUUUAUUUUAGGAUUUUUAAAAAUCAAGGAAAAGAAAAUGAAAAAAAAUUGAUUUAGUCGUCCUACCCCAAAGUUAAUUAGUCUAAAUUCAUGACCCAGAUCCUUUCAGGCCCAAAAAUAUUGAGCCCAUACCCUUUUCCCAUUUGAAACCUAAUUCCUACCCCUAUAUUAUAAUGUUAAUUCCUAAAAUAAAGGGCUAGAGAGAAAAAAUCCACCAGAAGCGGAAACCUCACCCACAGACACGAACGUCGCAUCAGAAAUGGCCUUUUAGAGUGGGUUUUUUCCUGAAAUUUCAGAACCAAUAAUUGAUUUGAUCAUCUUAAAUCUCUGAUUCCACAAACUCAAGAGGCAGAACCCUUUCCUCAACCUUCGUUUCCAUUUCCAUUGAUUCUGUGCAAAUAAUAACAAGUACUAUAGCUAGAAAAGAGGUGCAGAAAAUCUCGAGAUUUUGGCUACAAAAGCUGAUAAUGAAAUCUUGCUACCAUGAAUUGUUGUUGUUGUUGUUGUCACGCUGAGCUUCAUCUUCACUCUUUUAUCCAUUAUUCGGCAUUUUAAGCAAUUCGUGAUUUCUAGGUGCGUUUCUUUCGUUUUAUAUUUAAAUCUUUGAAAAGCAAUGAAGCUUCAAGCCCACUGUUAUGCUUUUGUUUGGUUUAGUCUUCGAUCUUAUUAACUGGCCAUAGACUGAAUUACUUGAAAUAUUUGAAUAGAUUUCCUGUAAUGGAUCGGAUGUGGUUGCUUUAUUGAAUGCCUAUGUUUGUAUCAUUUAUUUUCUUCAAAAACCGGUAGUAUGCAAUUUUAAGCUUGGCUUCAAGAAACAUGAGCUGCAAAUCGGCUCUAUAAAAUUUAUUUUCUGUGAGUUGUCUAUGUGAAUCACUAAGUGGGUUAUUUUAAUUAGUUAAGGCUUGGUGAUACAGCUUUGUGAUUCGAUAAUAGCAAUAUUUUGUUUGUUGUAAAUCGUGAAUCAGUGGAGGAAGUUAAAUAUUCAAGGCCAUCAUCAUUUAUUUAUUUAUUUUCUUUCUUUAGCAAUUGGACUCCAUAAAUGAAGUCUUUGGCUAAUUCUGAGAAUGACCGUGUGUAUACAUGUUAUACAAUUCAUAUGUGAUUGUAUGAUUGUUGAUUUCUAUUUGUUGAAAUUGGUUAUUAGUUAAUUCUUUUUCUUAGAAUAAUAAUUAUACAUAGAUAGGCUCAGAUUUGAGAACGUUUCCUACAUGCUACCAUGCCAAAUAAAAUCUCAAAUGUAUGGCCCUCAUUUAAUUAAUUUUAAUUCUUAGAAAUCGAG
rnacentral:lncRNA from 1 species